CAGAACCAAGGAAAACUUGCUCCAAACUGGGAAGGCCCGUAUGAAGUCAGGGAGGUAGUCCGGCCCGUAACAUACUAUCUAAAAGAGUUUGGAGGAGCGGACCUUCCGUGACCAUGGAAUUCGAAAAAUUUACGAAUGUAUUACCGAUAACUUUGCCUUAAAUAAAAGUUUCACAUUCGCAUAUCUUUUCUUUUGGCAUGAGCUUAUAACGACAGAGAUUAGCUCCUUCAGACAAUCGAAACUAAGCGUGUCAGGAACAAGAGGGGAAUCUCGUCUCAACAUAAAUGAAGGUCCGGUUAUUAAGAGAUCGGAUGGGGGGAGAGGCCUUCGCAACGGCCCUUAUGCGGCCCCACAGUCAUGUUAGGAAUAGGAGGAGAACCUCGUCCUAACAUGAGCAAAGUCGAAGAUCCGGUUAUUAAGAGAUCGGAUGGGGGGAGAGACCCUCGCAACGGCCCUUAUGCGCCCCCACAGUCAUGUUA
rnacentral:lncRNA from 1 species